rnacentral:misc_RNA from 1 species
CUUCGUAUAUUCUCUGAGGCAAAACGUCGAGCAGGUGGUGGUAAUUAGACGGAAGCUUAGAAUCCCAAACCGAGUCAGAAGAUGCAGCUCCACGAAAGGCGUGGUUAAGUCUAGCAAGAUUACAGAUUUCCGGUGGGGUAAGGUACAUGAACACACAGGCUACACAAUUUUCCGGUAUAUCGCCGAGACCUGGUCUACCGUUGGCCGUCGAUUCGUUCUCCGUUAGGCUGGACAAUGAUGCGCCCAUGCGAAAAUUACCUUCAAGUCCUUCCGAUUAUCUGGUAUUGUUGUAGAAGAGAAGAAGG